UUUAUUUUAACAAAUAAUAACGUGAGUCAGAUGCCCCCAUUCCGACAUUUUUGUUGUUCGGCGUUUUAAAACGUGUAUAGACGAACUCUGUUCAGAAUUGGUUUUCGUUAACAAUGAUUUUAAUGCGUACAAAUAAACAUUAAAUUCUCAUUUAUAUCAAAUAUGCUAUAAACAAAAAAAAAAAAAAAAAAAAAUGCUUUUUAUUAAAAUUGUACACUAAAAUCCUGAUUU